AGAGUUUGAUCCUGGCUCAGGAUGAACGCUAGCGGCAGGCUUAACACAUGCAAGUCGAGGGGCAGCAUGAGACGGAGAUUCGUCGAAGUCUUGAUGGCGACCGGCGCAAGGGUGCGUAACGCGUGAGCAACUUGCCCGUUUCAGGGGGAUAACCGGUGGAAACGCCGACUAAUACCCCAUAGUAUCACUUUAAGGCAUCUUUUAGUGAUUAAAGAACUUCGGAAACGGAUAGGCUCGCGUGACAUUAGCUAGAUGGCGGGGUAACGGCCCACCAUGGCGACGAUGUCUAGGGGUUCUGAGAGGAAGGUCCCCCACACUGGAACUGAGACACGGUCCAGACUCCUACGGGAGGCAGCAGUGAGGAAUAUUGGUCAAUGGUCGAAGGACUGAACCAGCCAUGCCGCGUGAAGGUGACGGCCCUAUGGGUCUUAAACUUCUUUUGUAAGGGAGCAAUAAGACUUACGUGUAAGUUGAUGAGAGUACCUUACGAAUAAGCAUCGGCUAACUCCGUGCCAGCAGCCGCGGU
rnacentral:rRNA from 1 species